GGUAUUUUUGCUAAUCCAGAAGAAACCAUAGGAACAAAAAGAAAGUCCCAGAAUCAGCCAAGUCCCAUCACAAUUUACAAAGAUUAUAGCUGCAUUUAUUGGCUAAAAAGCUUGCAACCUGGAACUGAGAGACAAUAACUCAGCUGCUCAAAGGGGAAUGGGAGUGAGGUAUUUAUGUCUAAGUGGGGGAGGGGAGCACAUUAAGUGAAGAACAAAAUAGGAGAUAUCAGAGAAGUAGGACUCCCGGGAGAAGACCUCUUCAAACAUAGCAAAUCAGAAACCAGAUAAUUUGGGGAAUUAAAUUGUCUGCUGCUCUUUCGAUAAGAUUGGCAGAUACUGUGAACCUUGGGGGGAAAAAGGUAGCUGGCUUCAAACCUAUCUAGUGUCACAAAGAAGAUAGCUCUUUAAGAAGAAUUGGGAUGAAGUACCAACAUGUUGUUUUGCUUGGGAACCAAGGUGUUGGCAAUUUCAGGAGUCCUGGAAGAAACAGAGUGGGAAAGACUUUACAGAUGAUUGAGACUGCAGUCUGGAGAUUGAGAACACCAGGUUUAAAUGACUUGUAGAGGAACCUCAACAAUGGACUGUUAAGGACAAUUUAUAACCUCUAAAAUUGACUUUGCAAUUAAGUUUUGAUGAGAGGGAAGAUUAUUUGUACUCAGAGGAAUUUUAACAAUAUUUAGGAGGAGGGAUGGAGCCAAGAUCAGAGCUCUCCCUGAUAUCCCUCAGAUCAACAGCAAAUCAAGACUCUGAGUUGAUUUUGGAGUGACAGAACCCACAAAUAUUUGGAGUAUAAUAAAUUUCCAGCAGAAAAUAUAUAUAUUUUAAACUUUUUAUUGAUAGAAUCCAUGCCAGGGUAAUUUUUUACAGCAUUAUCCCUUGCACUCACUUCUGUUCCAAUUUUUCCCCUCCCAACCUCCUCCCCCUCCCCCAGAUGGCAAGCAGUCCUUUACAUGUUAAAUAGGUUAUAGUAUAUCCUAGAUACAAUAUAUGUGUGCAGAACCAAACAGUUCUCUUGUUGCACAGGGAGAAUUGGAUUCAGAUGGUAUAAAUAACCUGGAAAGAAAAACAAAAAUGUAAGCAGUUUAUAUUCAUUUCCCCAUGUUCUUUCUUUGGGUGUAGCUGCUUCUGCCCAUCUUUGAUCAAUUGAAACUGAAUUAGCUCUCUUUAUCGAAGAGAUCCACUUCCAUCAGAAUACAUCCUCAAACAGUAUCGUUGUUGAGGUAUAUAAUGAUCUCCUGGUUCUGCUCAUUUCAUUUAGCAUCAGUUCAUGUAAAUCUCACCAGUCCUCUCUGUAUUCAUCCCAGCAGAAAAUAUUUUGGAAAGACUUUAGAAAAGGUCUGUUUCAAUCAAGCACAAAAGGAGGGGCUGAACGCAGGGAAGAAUAAGGGACCAGGGUGAUGUGGCAUCCUGCAAACCAAGUAAUAUAACUGGAGGAAUCCACAGCAGUGUUGGCUAUUCUGUCCUAAUUGCAAGCCAGUAAAUCAACGGAGUAGUUGCAAAACAUACAACAUAAAUACAAAAAGCCUCUGAACUCUAGAAUAAAGCAGGACCUGGCCAUGCCCAUUUAGCACUGGAAGUUAGCACUGAAAAUCAGCACCAACCCAGGACAACUACUGUGGCUUGUAGAGAAAGCUCUCCCCUUUUCCCUAAAAGCAGACCUCAAUCUUGGGGAAAAAAAUUGAACAAAAAAGCAAAAAGAACUCUGACCAUAGAUAGUAUUUAUGGAGAAAGAAAAGAAAAGAUUUCAAACCCUGAGGACACUAAAAGCAGAUCAUCUCGAGAUGAAGUUCAAAGGAUGAUAUGAAUUAGUCUCCAUCUCACAAGGCUCUCUUGGAAGAAUUCAAAAAGGAUCUUAAAAGAGAGAAGAAAAGUAGCGAAAGGCAAUGAGAAGUUUGCAAGAAGGUUUGGAAAAAGAAACAGAAAUUAUCUGAAGAAAGCUCCUUAAAAAUAAAUUUAGUGAAAUGGAAAAAGCAAAUAACUUCUUACAAAAUAGACUUGACAAAAUGGAAAAAAAAAAUAACUUCUUGAAAAACAAUAUUGAUGUUGUACCUGUUAUUUAUAUUUCUAGAAAAGUUUAUAGAGACUUCUUAAUUGGAGGAAGUUGAAUUAACAUUUUUUUAGGAUGAAGAAAUUAUUAAUGCUAAUUCUGAUAGGGUUCUUUAAAGUGAAAUUAGAACAGUAUAUUCUAUAUUCUAUAUGAGUUUUAAUUGGUUGCACUGAGUCAUUUUAAAACUGUUCCCAUUGUUUAGGGAGAUUCUGAGAACAGUGAUCUAUGUCUUUGUCCCUUUGAACAUGGUUAAUACUUGAACAUGUUUUGAUAUAGAUUGGUUAUUAAGUAUCUUAAAGUAAAAUUAUUUGUAUAAUGUUGAAUUUAAAAUAUAUCUACUUAGCUAUGAAGAUAAACUUCAUAAACUUCAGACUCAGGAAUAAUCAUGAAUGACGAAUCUCUUACUACUAUCAAUGAGAGUAAAUCAAUACUUAUUUAGGAUAUGUAAUCCUUGAGAGCUAAAUAAACAGGAAAACUUUGAGUAAUAAGA